rnacentral:rRNA from 1 species
UACGAAGGGGGCUAGCGUUGUUCGGAAUUACUGGGCGUAAAGCGCGCGCAGGCGGUCCUUCAAGUCAGAGGUGAAAGCCCAGAGCUCAACUCUGGAAUGGCCUUUGAGACUAGAGGACUUGGGUACGGGAGAGGUGAGUGGAAUUCCGAGUGUAGAGGUGAAAUUCGUAGAUAUUCGCAAGAACACCAGUGGCGAAGGCGGCUCACUGGCCCGGUACUGACGCUGAGGCACGAAAGCGUGGGGAGCAAACAGG